UCUGGUUGAUCCUGCCAGUAGUCAUAUGCUUGUCUCAAAGAUCAAGCCAUGCAUGUCUAAGUAUAAGCAAUUUAUACAGUGAAACUGCGAAUGGCUCAUUAAAUCAGUUAUCGUUUAUUUGAUAGUUCCUUUACUACAUGGUAUAACUGUGGUAAUUCUAGAGCUAAUACAUGCUUAAAAUCUCGACCCUUUGGAAGAGAUGUAUUUAUUAGAUAAAAAAUCAAUGUCUUCGGACUCUUUGAUGAUUCAUAAUAACUUUUCGAAUCGCAUGGCCUUGUGCUGGCGAUGGUUCAUUCAAAUUUCUGCCCUAUCAACUUUCGAUGGUAGGAUAGUGGCCUACCAUGGUUUCAACGGGUAACGGGGAAUAAGGGUUCGAUUCCGGAGAGGGAGCCUGAGAAACGGCUACCACAUCCAAGGAAGGCAGCAGGCGCGCAAAUUACCCAAUCCUAAUUCAGGGAGGUAGUGACAAUAAAUAACGAUACAGGGCCCAUUCGGGCCUUGUAAUUGGAAUGAGUACAAUGUAAAUACCUUAACGAGGAACAAUUGGAGGGCAAGUCUGGUA
rnacentral:rRNA from 1 species